rnacentral:rRNA from 1 species
UAAAACUCAAAUGAAUUGACGGGGGCCCGCACAAGCGGUGGAGCAUGUGGUUUAAUUCGGUGCAACGCGAAGAACCUUACCUACUCUUGACAUCCAGAGAACUUUCCAGAGAUGGAUUGGUGCCUUCGGGAACUAUGAGACAGGUGCUGCAUGGCUGUCGUCAGCUCGUGUUGUGAAAUGUUGGGUUAAGUCCCGCAACGAGCGCAACCCUUAUCCUUGUUUGCCAGCGAGUAAUGUCGGGAACUCCAGGGAGUUGCCGGUGAUAAACCGGAGGAAGGUGGGGACGACGUCAAGUCAUCAUGGCCCUUACGAGUAGGGUUACACACCUGUUACAAUGGGGCAUACAGAGGGCGGCCAACUUAAGAAAGUGAGGGAAUUCCAAAAAAUGCGUCGUAGUCCGGAUUGGAGUCUGCAACUCGACUCCAUGAAGUCGGAAUCGCUAGUAAUCGUGGAUCAGAAUGCCACGGUGAAUACGUCCCCGGGCCUUGUACACACCGCCCGU